rfam:Schistosoma mansoni strain Puerto Rico chromosome 1, complete genome
GCCGGCGUCCAUAACACGUUGAAAACACCGGUUCUCGUCCGAUCGCCGCAGUUAAGCGACGUUGUGCCCAGGCAAUUCUUGCU